rnacentral:rRNA from 1 species
GCGCGAAAACUUUACAAUGCUGGCAACAGCGAUAAGGGAACCUCGAGUGCCAGGUUACAAAUCUGGCUGUCGAGAUGCCUAAAAAGCAUUUCAUAGCAAGGGCCGGGCAAGACCGGUGCCAGCCGCCGCGGUAACACCGGCGGCUCGAGUGGUAACCGUUAUUAUUGGGUCUAAAGGGUCUGUAGCCGGCCGGAUAAGUCUCUUGAGAAAUCUGGCAGCUUAACUGUCAGGCUUUCAGGAGAUACUGUCUGGCUCGAGGCCGGGAGAGGUGAGAGGUACUUCAGGGGUAGGGGUGAAAUCUUGUAAUCCUUGAAGGACCACCAGUGGCGAAGGCGUCUCACCAGAACGGACCUGACGGCAAGGGACGAAAGCUAGG